UAGGUGACAUUUAUGGAGUAGUUUCUUGCCAUCCUUCUGAAUCAAAUGAAGAUUCAAAACAAUUUAAUGAAAAGAUACUGCUUGAAGUUGAAAAUGAAGACUUGAAGCUUGCUGGAACACCUGAUUAUAGACAGUCCACCAGUGAUGAAUUGGGCACUGAUGACCACUUUCUUACAGCUGGUCUUGAAAUGAGCAUAAGUCUUGCCCAUUGUGAAG
rnacentral:lncRNA from 12 species